GUUAAAAUUAAAGAUAAAAAUACAUAUAAAAUAAUAAGACUGUGGUUAUAGUUCAUUUGGUAAAGUGCUUGCCUAGUGUACAGAAAGCCCUAGAUUUCAUCCUCAGUACUGAAUAAAACCAAAUGUGUUGGUAUAUGUCUGCAUUCCCAAAAUCGAAGUUAGGAAGGUUGAGGCAGGAGGAUCAGAAGUUUGAGGUCAUCUUUAACAUUAACAUUAUAAUCAGUUUAAGACCAGCCUGGGCUAUGUCUUUAAAAAUAGUAAUAAUAAACUGGACCAGCAAAAAUGGUUCAGUGGAUAAAGGUCCCGUUGCUAAGCCUAACAACCUAAGUUUGAUAAUUGGAACCUAAAUGGUGGGAAAAGAGCUGACUCCUGCAGUGUCCUCUGAUUUACACCUGCAUGCCAUGGCAUGAGUGCAUGUACACACACACACACACACACACACACACACACACACACACACACACACUUAUGUAAUAAAAAGGAAACUUUUUAAUUGAAAUUAAAUAAUUGUACUCUGAGCAUCUUUUUCAGGAAAGAUAAUUAGUAAGCUUAUGCUAUGAUGUAGGAGUAAAUAAAUUUGGUUUAUGAUAAGUUGAGUUUGAAGUAUCCAGUAUUAAUGAUACUGGAGGCUUAACAGGUAGGCUGGACUAAAGAUAUAAUUUUGGGGAGUUGGUUGAGGUGUAGGUUGUAUCAGAAAUAUGGAGAUAGGUGAACUGGUGCCAAAGUCAAGCAUACCAUUAAGACUACAGAGAUACAACCUAUGGAAUGCAGACCUUUGAGGACCACGUAAAAACUAUAGCCAGCAAAGGAGACUAAAACAGUAAUCUGAGAUAAAGGAAAGACAAGAAAGCCUCAUGUCACAGAGGACAAAAAUUUUAGAAGUGAAACGUGAAGAGGAAUGGCAAGAUGGCUUAGCAGGUAAAGGUGCUCACCUUCAAACCUAACAACCUGAGUCCAACUCCCAGAACCCACCUGAUGGAAGGAAAGAAUUUACCCUUGUAAGUUGUCUCUGACCUUCACUCUCAUGCUAUCACAUGCAUACAGUGAAUAAAUAAAUACAAGUAAAAAAAACCCCAACUAUUAAUUGUCUCUGAAUAGUUAAGAAAAAGGAAGAAUAACAGCCUGCUGAAGGAAGAUGUCACCUGGUUAAGAUGAUGAAUAGAAUAUUCACUAUUUUCCUGAGUUCCCAUACUCCUUUGCCUAAACUCUGUAUGAGUUCAUAAUGAAAGAAUCCUGCAACUUCAGAAGUAAAAAGAAGUCAGGCUAUUAUUUUAACAGAGGGAAUAAAAUCAAGAGUGUCAGUGACUUGCCUGGCCAACUAAGGUUAUCUAGAAAGUUGGCAUCAAAAUCAAAGCUAGACUUCUUUGCAAGUUAAGAGAUGUUAUAAUUAGAAACAAAUCAAGCUUUUGAAUCAGUUGGAUGUGAGUUUGGAUCUAAUAUUUUUACUUAGUUCUCUCUUAGCUUUAGUUUUUCUUACCAUAAAAUGAAUAUAAAAUGGAACUUUUUUUUGUUUGUUUGUUUGUUUGUUUUUCAAGACAGGGUUUCUCUGUGUAGUUUUGGUGCCUGUCCUGAAUUUCCCUCUGUAGAUCAGGAUGGCCUCGAACUCACAGAGAUCUGCCUAGUUCUGCCUCCUGAGUGCUGGGAUUAAAGGUGUGCGCCACCACCGCCCGGCAAAAUACACCAUUUUAAUACUAACUAUAAUAUUAAUAAUAAGGACUCCAUAAUUCUUGGCCUAGGAAAAAGUAUUGAAGAGACAAACUGUUAAGCCUGGGCUGUUGGUACACACCUAUAAUCCCUACACUCAGGACAUAGAGACAGGAGGAUUGUGAGUUCAAAGCCAGCCUGGUCUACAGAGCGAGAUCCAGGACAGGCACCAAAAACUACACAGAGAAACCCUGUCUCAAAACAAAAAAACAGUGCGGUCUCAUAGCAGCGGCAGAGACGCGGCCAAGCUGCUACCGGAGUGGUCGCCUGUUAGCGGACAGUGACAAGACUCCAAAGCUGGCUCUUGUCUACGGCCAGGAGCUAAUGGCAGGGGACAGAAGCAAGCAUUCUGAGCUGGACCAAGAAAAAUAUGAUGCUCAUGACAACGUGAAGAUCAUCUGUCUGGGAGACAGCACGGUGGGCAAAUCCAAACUUCUGGGAUACAGCAGGCCAGGAGAGGUUCCAGAACAUGUAUGCCUCCUACUACCUACCACAAGGCUCAUGCCUGCAUCAUGGUAUUUGAUGUCCAGAGGAAAAUCACCUAUAAGAACCUGGGUACCUGGUAUGCAGAACUUCGGGAGUUCAGGCCGGAGAUCCCAUGCAUCCUGGUGGCCAAUAAAAUUGAUGCAGACAAACAGCUAACUCAAAAGAACUUCAGUUUCGCCAAGAAGUUUUCCCUGGCCCUGUACUUCGUCUCAGCUGCCAAUGGUACCAGUGUGGUGAAGCUCUUCAAUGACGCAAUUCGAUUAGCUGUGGCUUACAAGGAACGCUCCCAGGACUUUGUGGAUGAGGUUUUACAGGAGCUUGAGAACUUCAAGUUGGAGCAGAAAGAGGAGGAUACACCAGACCAAGAGCACAGUGGCAUGGUCAAGAGCCCGUCUCCUUCUUAAUCAAGAGGACACCCACACAUGGCUGAGUAGGGGUAUCAGGAAGCCAUUUGAAAUGCCCAACAUCUCUGGAGAACCUCUCCAGGCUACCCCUGCUCAACUUCCUGCAAACCCACUGUUCUGUGGUCCAUGAUGAGGUCAACACAAACACACUAGACAGGCAUGAUAUCCCACCAACUUCCUACAGCAGGAUGAGGGAUCCAUGUCUUUCAAAUCUUCCCACCCCACCAGCAGCCUGGCAGUGUAGAAUCAGUGAACAUGCUCAUGUUUUCUUACUAGACAUGUAAUGUUUGUUGUCUUUCAUCCCAAACUGACCUCAGGGAUUCUCCUUGCUGCUGACAGGACUGCUGACCCCUAACUACACUGUGUCCUGCAGAAUCUGUGACCUCUGUCCCUUUGCCCUCUGAGUCUCCCAACCAACUUUUUCAACAAUAUUUUGGACAGACUGUUGAUUCCAGAUUUUUUUUAGUGCUGUUUCAGGAGCUCUUCUAGGUCAGGUUGAGAGCACAGGAAUAGGACUCCGUUGCAGUCACAUGAAAACACGCCAAGUCUAGCCAUAUCUGGUCAUAUCCGCACAUUACUAUUGCCCACCACAUGAACAACAGCUUCUUUUGAAGCCUCCAUCUCAGAGUAGAAAGUGUUCCUCCACCUGUCUAGCAUCUUCUGUGGGUGGCAGGAAAUGGCAUGGGAAGAGCUGCCCUGCUUCCUGCAGCUUGCUAGCCUGCACUUAUGAUUGUCUUCAGCAUUGUUUCCAUUGUCUUUAUUAUUUUGUUUGUAUUGUUUCCUUUUGUACAAUAAAGAUUAAAUUUCAUAAAAAAACAAUAACAACAACAAAUAAAGACACAUUCUCCUUUUUAAACUUAGAGUUAUAGGUAAUUUUUCAGUCAAAGCCCUUUGACUACUUAAAGGAAAUAAUUGUGGUCUUUUGAUAGUAAGAAACUUAUUUCAGAAAUAAAUUUUUAGGUAAGUUUUAAAACUACGUGAAGUUUUAUUAGAUUACUACAUUAAAUAAAGACAUAAAGAUGUCUAAACCCAGUUCUAGAUAGCAAAGAGAUGAUUAGGUUAUAGGGGAACACAACAAACCAGUAGAAUGCCAUAAAGUAGCAGUUCUCCACCUGUGGGUUGUGACUCCCACAGGGGUCACUUAUCUGAUAAACUGAAUAUUAGAUAUUUACAUUACAAUUCAUAACAGUAGCAAAAUUACAGUUAUGAAGUAGCAACUAAAGAAUUUUAUGGUUGGAGGUCCCCACAACAUGAGUUGUAUUGGAGGGUCACAGCAUUAGGAAGGGCACUGCCAUACAGCUUAUAGGUAGAUGGUGAAUAGUUGCUUCUCUUGGAAAUGAAAGAGAUCAUAAAAGACUUCAAGGAUGAAUAAUUUAUGUUGAAUUUUCAAAAGUAUUUGUGAGUUGAGGAGGAUUUCUUUUUUAAAAAAAGAUUAUUUAUUUAUUUAUUUAUUUAUUUUACAGUGUUCUGUCUGUAGAUAUCCCUGCAGGCCAGAAGAGGGCACCAGAUCUCUUUACAGAUGGUUGUGAGCCACCAUGUGGUUGCUGGGAAUUGAACUCAGGACCUUUGGAAGAACAAGCAGUGCUCUUAACCUCUGAGCCAUCUCUCCAGCCCCUGAGGAGGAUUUCUGAACAAAGUAAAGAGCAACGUAUUUUCAGAUGCAGAAGCAUGAAAGGGAUGCAUUCAAAGCACAGUGCUCUUUGGAGAUUGGAGUGAGGAGAAGACAGCAGUGAGGCCAGGCAGGAAGACAGGAGCUGUGGGAGGCUUUGAAUGUCAAGUUAAGAAACCUGAACUUCCUUGUGGUAGUAUAAGAGUCAUUGAAGGGUUGAUUCGAAUUUUGAUUCCUGUAUACUGUGUCAUUUAAAAGUUGUGCUCCUGUAGACAAUAUGUACAUAUUAAAUCUUACAAAGGCAUUGAACUUAACAGCCACAAGACACUGGAGCCUAAAACUUGGGUUUGUGUAACUGGAAGUGUAUCUAGGUAGUGAAUAGUUUGGAAGUAGAAAUGGGUUCAAAGAAUUUGUUUAAAUGGUUUCACUUACUGAUAAUCUAGUAUGUCUAGAUCCUUUCAUGUACUUUAGCUUAGAAUUCUCCAUGCUGCUGUUCUCCAUUCUUCAGGUAAGGAUCGAUUCUUUUAAGUUAAAUGACACUUGCUAAAAGCCUAUAGCAAUUAAGUGAAAGAGCUAGAAAUUUGGUUCUAAGUAUAGUAUUCUUUCUACUGGUAUAGGGACUGUCAGCAGAAUGUAUUGACCCCUCAUGAAUAACCUUGUAUUCUUGACCAUCCUUGAAGGUGACACAAAGACCAAUGCUGAAAUAGUCUACCACUGAUUGAAAUAUUUAAUUAUUUCAUUUGCCAUGGCUGGGCUAGCAUGGGAAAAAGUUACCGGUAGGUGCUAGCCCUCCUGUGCCAUAUCACCUUAUCUGAUUGGUUUUAUGUGGCUGUAAUCUGGUUGGAAUAACAUGGGGGAAAGAGAGGUUUGGGAUUUGAAGAGUAAUUGGAAUAGGUUUUUAUAUCCUUUCUUUCACUUAUGUUU